AUUGAACGCUGGCGGCAUGCUUUACACAUGCAAGUCGAACGGUAACAGGCCUUCGGGUGCUGACGAGUGGCGACCGGGUGAGUAAUGCAUCGGAACGUGCCCAGAGGUGGGGGAUAACGCAGCGAAAGCUGUGCUAAUACCUCAUGUGAUCUGAGGAUGAAAGCGGGGGACCAGGCAGCAAUGUUUGGCCUCGCGCCUUUGGAGCGGCCGAUGUCAGAUUAGGUAGUUGGUGUGGUAAAGGCCUACCAAGCCGACGAUCUGUAGCUGGUCUGAGAGGACGACCAGCCACACUGGGACUGAGACACGGCCCAGACUCCUACGGGAGGCAGCAGUGGGGAAUUUUGGACAAUGGGCGCAAGCCUGAUCCAGCAAUGCCGCGUGCGGGAAGAAGGCCUUCGGGUUGUAAACCGCUUUUGUACGGAACGAAAAGGCUCUGGCUAAUACCUGGGGCUGAUGACGGUACCGUAAGAAUAAGCACCGGCUAACUACGUG
rnacentral:rRNA from 1 species